rnacentral:rRNA from 1 species
CGCGAAUCGCCCUUGGGCACCAGGCGCGAAAACUUUGCAAUACACGAAAGUGUGACAGGGCUAUCUCGAGUGCCAUCCGCUGAGGAAGGCUUUUACCCAGUCUAGAACGCUGGGGGAAUAAGGAGAGGGCAAGUCUGGUGUCAGCCGCCGCGGUAAUACCAGCUCUCCGAGUGGUGUGGAUGUUUAUUGGGCCUAAAGCAUCCGUAGCUGGCUAAGUUAGUCCCUUGUUAAAUCCACCGAAUUAAUCGUUGGAUUGCGGGGGAUACUGCUUGGCUAGGGGACGAGAGAGGCAGACGGUAUUUCCGGGGUAGGGGUGAAAUCCUAUAAUCCCGGGAAGACCACCAGUGGCGAAGGCUGUCUGCUAGAACGCGCCCGACGGUGAGGGAUGAAAGCUGGGGGAGCGAACCGGAUUAGAUACCCGGGUAGUCCCAGCUGUAAACGAUGCAGGCUAGGUGUUUGGACGGCCACGUGCCGUUCUAGUGCCGCAGGGAAGCUGUUAAGCCUGCCGCCUGGGGAGUACGAUCGCAAGAUUGAAACUUAAAGGAAUUGGCGGGGGAGCAC